rnacentral:rRNA from 1 species
CCCGCUGAACUUAAGCAUAUCAAUAAGCGGAGGAAAAGAAAAUAACAAUGAUUCCCUUAGUAACGGCGAGUGAAGGGGGAAAAGCUCAAAUUUUAAAUCUGCUAGGUUUUACUUAUCAGAAUUGUAAUUUGAAGAAGCGUUUUCCGCGUCUCGGUUGACCCAAAUCCUUUGGGAUGAGGUAUCAUGGAGGGUGAGAAUCCCGUUCGGUUGACCUUAUGACGUUCUACGAUACGCUUUCUAAGAGUCGAGUUGUUUGGGAUUGCAGCUCAAAAUGGGAGGUAAAUUUCUCCUAAGGCUAAAUAUCGGCGAGAGACCGAUAGCGAACAAGUACCGUGAGGGAAAGAUGAAAAGAACUUUGAAAAGAGAGUAAAAUAGUACGUGAAAUUGUUGAAAGGGAAACGAUUGAAGUCAGUCGUACCGACGAGAAAUCAACUUAUCGCGUGCGAACUUGUGGGCGUGCGUGAGUUUCGGCCUCGCUGUUUGCAUGUUUGUGCGUUUUCGGUGUACUUUUUCGUAUGGUAGGCCAACAUCAGUUUCGAUUACUAUAAAAUGACCGGCGGAAUGUAGCUUCGAUUUCGGUUGAAGUGUUAUAGCCUCUGGUAGAUGUGGUGAUUGGGACUGAGGAUUGCAACGAAUAUCCUUUGGGCUAUCCGUCUGAUCUCUGAAAGUUGCUCAGGUGCCGAAAGCGUGCUUACGGUCAUCUAAGUUGACGGUCAACAGGUUAGAACGUGAUUACAUUCGUUAAGGAUGUUGGCGUAAUGGCUUUAAACGACCCGUCUUGAAACACGG